UACGUAGGGUGCGAGCGUUAAUCGGAAUUACUGGGCGUAAAGGGUGCGCAGGCGGCGUCGCAAGUCAGGCGUGAAAUCCCCGGGCUUAACCUGGGAACUGCACUUGAAACUACGAUGCUGGAGUAUGGCAGAGGGAGGUGGAAUUCCACGUGUAGCGGUGAAAUGCGUAGAGAUGUGGAGGAACACCGAUGGCGAAGGCAGCCUCCUGGGCCAAUACUGACGCUCAUGCACGAAAGCGU
rnacentral:rRNA from 1 species